GCUGGGUGUGGUGGUGUGCACCUGUAAUCCCAGCUACUCUGGAAGCUGAGGCAGGAGAAUUGCUGAACCCAGGAGUCCUGGGUUGCAGUGAGCUGAGAUCAUAUCACUGUACUCCAGCCUGAGUGACAGAGCAAGACUCCGUCUCCA
rnacentral:SRP_RNA from 1 species